CGGACGGGUGAGUAACGCGUGAGAAUCUAACUUCAGGACGGGGACAACAGUUGGAAACGACUGCUAAUACCCGAUGUGCCGCAAGGUGAAACCUAAUUGGCCUGAAGAAGAGCUUGCGUCUGAUUAGCUAGUUGGUGGGGUAAAAGCCUACCAAGGCGACGAUCAGUAGCUGGUCUGAGAGGAUGAGCAGCCACACUGGGACUGAGACACGGCCCAGACUCCUACGGGAGGCAGCAGUGGGGAAUUUUCCGCAAUGGGCGAAAGCCUGACGGAGCAACGCCGCGUGAGGGAGGAAGGUCUUUGGAUUGUAAACCUCUUUUCUCAAGGAAGAAGUUCUGACGGUACUUGAGGAAUCAGCCUCGGCUAACUCCGUGCCAGCAGCCGCGGUAAUACGGGGGAGGCAAGCGUUAUCCGGAAUUAUUGGGCGUAAAGCGUCCGCAGGUGGUCAGCCAAGUCUGCCGUCAAAUCAGGUUGCUUAACGACCUAAAGGCGGUGGAAACUGGCAGACUAGAGAGCAGUAGGGGUAGCAGGAAUUCCCAGUGUAGCGGUGAAAUGCGUAGAGAUUGGGAAGAACAUCGGUGGCGAAAGCGUGCUACUGGGCUGUAUCUGACACUCAGGGACGAAAGCUAGGGGA
rnacentral:rRNA from 1 species